ensembl:lncRNA
GAGAUAUUGAGACAGUUGUACACUGGAGUUAACUUUUGAGUCUGAAUGAGUGUAUACAAUAAGGUUAGACAGAGUCAAGGGAUAGCCUGGUGUGAAGAAAGUAGAACACCCCUCCAAGACAGAAACAAAAUCUAUCUUCAGUUUAAAGGAUAAACACUAUUGCUGCUUACAAGAAAAUUUGAGUCAUAAUGUUCUUGGACACUGAUGGGAAUGUCUAAUUAAGCAUUGACUUGCUCAUCUAUAGAACGGGGAUUGCUGCUGCUGCUAAGUUGCUUCAGUCGUGUCCGACUCUGUGCGACCCCAGAGACGGCAGCCCACCAGGCUCCCCUGUCCCUGGGAUUCUCCAGGCAAGAACACUGGAGUGGGUUGCCAUUUCCUUCUCCAAUGCAUGAAAGUGAAAAGUGAAAGUGAAGUCACUCAGUCAUGUCCGACUCCUAGCGACCCCAUGGACUGCAGCCCACCAGGCUCCUUUGAAUUAUCCAGACACUGUUCUUGCUGGGCACACAAGAUAAAUGAGACCCCGUGCCUCUCCUCCUUGAGUUCCCCAGCCAUGGGAAAAAAUGAACCAGCAGCCAUCUGAUGGGAUGCCAUCUGGUCAGAGCCGUAACAGAGCCAGUCAGAGCAGAAGCACAAGCAUCCACGCUUUCCUGCUUCCCAGGAUGAGUAAGGACCACCUGAGGAGGGAGCCCUUUCCUCUCUAGGUUAGGUCAUUUUAUUGGCCUGCACUCAUUUCCUCAUCUGAAACACAAGGAUUUUGAAAUGGUUGAUAUUCAUG